AGAGUUCGAUCAUGGCUCAGAACGAACGCUGGCGGCAGGCCUAAUACAUGCAAGUCGAGCGCGCCCUUCGGGGUGAGCGGCGGACGGGUGAGUAACGCGUGGGAAUAUGCCCUUCUCUAAGGAAUAGCCUCUGGAAACGGAGAGUAAUACCUUAUACGCCCUUUUGGGGAAAGAUUUAUCGGAGAAGGAUUAGCCCGCGUUAGAUUAGGUAGUUGGUGGGGUAAUGGCCUACCAAGCCUACGAUCUAUAGCUGGUUUGAGAGGAUGAUCAGCCACACUGGGACUGAGACACGGCCCAGACUCCUACGGGAGGCAGCAGUAGGGAAUCUUAGACAAUGGGGGCAACCCUGAUCUAGCCAUGCCGCGUGUGUGAUGAGGGCCCUAGGGUCGUAAAGCACUUUCGCCAGAGAUGAUAAUGACAGUAUCUGGUAAAGAAACCCCGGCUAGCUCCGUGCCAGCCGCCGCGGUAAUUC
rnacentral:rRNA from 1 species